rnacentral:misc_RNA from 1 species
GGCCUUGGCAUAAGCUCUUGCCUGUUCAAAUUUCAAGUCACUUUUGAAGCAGCUUUACAAAGAAUUCAAUAAUUACCAACAUCUCAUUAUUAUGGAAUGCUAACCAUAAAUAAUUAAUUGCAAUUGCUAAUCCAAACAAGUCCUAAAAUGUGUAAAAGGCUGCAAAAGAAGUCUUGAUAAAUGAAAUUUAUAGCAAUUCUGUUACAAUUAGAUUAUGGUAAUUUAUGGGCACAAAUUUAUGUCAAUAUAUAUAAUGAAGCUGGCCUUAAAAUAAACUUAGUCAAAAUGUGAUAAUAAGUGGUGCUCUGUUAGAUUUUUUUUUUAAUUU